rnacentral:rRNA from 1 species
AGAGCGAACGCUGGCGGCAGGUCUAAUACAUGCAAGUCGAGCGGCCACUUCGGUGGCAGCGGCGGACGGGUGAGUAACGCGUGGGAAUGUGCCCUUUGGUACGGAACAACUGAGGGAAACUUCAGCUAAUACCGUAUGUGCCCUUCGGGGGAAAGAUUUAUUGCCAUUGGAGCAGCCCGCGUUGGAUUAGCUAGUUGGUGGGGUAAAGCCCACCAAGGCGACGAUCCAUAGCUGGUCUGAGAGGAUGAUCAGCCACACUGGGACUGAGACACGGCCCAGACUCCUACGGGAGGCAGCAGUAGGGAAUCUUGCGCAAUGGGCGAAAGCCUGACGCAGCCAUGCCGCGUGAAUGAUGAAGGUCUUAGGAUUGUAAAAUUCUUUCACCGGGGAAGAUAAUGACGGUACCCGAGAAGAACGCCCGGACUAACUUCGCGCCAGCAGCCGC